ACUGCCUAUACGAGACUGCAGUCCUUGUUUUUUUUUUCUUUUACUUUUCCAUCAGCUGAAGGUCUUGUGGGGAAAAAAAAGAAAGAGAGAGAGAGAGUGCUCUUAUUAGCAAUUUGCCAAAAAAAUCUUCGGGAGUCAUAAGCCUAUCAUUGUUCCCCUGGACUGCAAAGCCUGUGAGCGGUAGUUUGCAUAAAGUUUUAUGACCAAGGAGACGUUGGGCUAAUUGGAUGGAGUACAAUCAGUGCUCUAUCAUGUUGACGAAGGCCGAGUCAAGAUGCAGAAAUAAAAUCAGGGCCAUACGAAAAAGAGAAACUUAUGUGUGCAAAUGGUCCUUCUCGUUGGCUUCCUGUCCCCUCGCUGAGACCUUGUUGGGUUUCCAGCCAAACACACGAAGACACGCGCACAUGCUCAACACGUUCGCGAGGAAACACGCAUACCGCAUCGUCCCCUCUCUUCCUCCCUGCCUGUCGCACGCAUGCAGGAUGGGAGGACUGAGUCCUGCUGGGCAGGACACAGCCUCCUGGGGGGGUGAGAGGUGUUUAGCUGGUGGAAUUCGGCAGCUCUUCCUUAAUUCAGACACCGUUGGUUAAAACCAGAGGUUUACAAAAAAAUCUUAAAGAGUCAAAGCAGAUUUUCGAACGUGGUGCCCAGACGCUUCCUACAGACAACGUAACAGAGCAGGAGAAUGGACCGUUUCCAGGUAUCUGUUUUAGUGUCAAUCCACCCCCGACUCUCCCACCAAAGAUUAUUCGGGCACAAGGAAGGCCACUGAGAGAGGAGAUCUCACACAAACAGAUGAGCAAGCAAAAAGCUGACUUAUGUGGAAUUUGUGGUCAUUGUUCUUUAUAAGAGAUCCUACUUUAUUUCAUUAUAACUGCACACCAGUGAAAUAUUCAGGGGACUCAUUUAUUAAUGACUAAUUAUUAAGCCGUCAAUUAGUUUCUUCACAUAGACAACAGAAAAAGUUCUGGAAAUCUUUCUCUUGUGCUUACUGUAAAUCUUGAACAGAAAAGUUAAUGCCUACGUGUUUUCAAUAAGAUGAGAUUCGAGAUAUUAGGAAAGACAGCAUUUGUUUUUCUAAGGUUUUCUUGGGGCAGCUUUAGGUUUAGAUGGUGUUGUUUGUUUGUUUGUUUUUUUCCUAACAUCUUUGUCACCUGAAAGAAAAUCAUCAUAUCACCAACAUGAAAGUGAUUAGAAUUUGACCUGUAUGUUUAAUUCACUUUUCUCUUUCCCUCGUGGCUGAUGUUAUAUUUGAGAUCAGGCAUGGGAGGAGGUGUAGUUCAGACCUGCUUCCCUAUUCCUCACUCCUGCCUCACCUGUAUCAGCUGUCUCAUAACCUUCCACCUAAUGAAGGAGAAUGUUCUACCUGUUCAUCGAACUUUCUCUUAGAGUCUCCUGCUCACCAGGCAUGCUGCUGGCCACCAGUGCUCAGCACCAACCCUCAUGUGGUCCUUCCUUUCACCCGGGUUACCAGGAAGUCUGGGCUACUGGAUGAGCAUUCAGACCAGCAACUGUUGUUCCUGCCCAUGUGUCGUCUGAGCUCACGCUCUCUUCUUUGGCACUCUUUCAUAAAGAGUUUCCCUGCCUCAACUGGGGUAUAGACUACAAAUGUGUCAAGAUCCCUGAAAUCUAAUGCUCAGUGGGAAUGCAACAAAUUUCCACCAUGUCAAGAAACAGAGAUGAUACAGUCCUGGAAUCCUCAUCCCAAAGUGUCUCCAGAAGAUCGUUCUUUACAAGGAAACACUCCGCAUAUCGGGACAGAGGACCGAGCAGAGCUCUGUGAAGGGUAGAGUCGGGUGCAGAUCCGUAAGGACUCUACACAGGUCAAGAAGAACGAAGGCAGACCUGACUGCCUGCUGAAGCGGUCACCUGGCAAGGGCAUGUGAAGGUGGCAUACCACGGGGUGAAGGAAGCUCUGGAACCAGGCAUUGACUCUGACCCACAAGCCCCCGACUUUGAAUAGGAAGACCAAGUACAAAGACGUAAGAAAUGAGAUGCUACUCACGAUCUCUAUGGCUUUCUUGUGCCACACUGGACACUGAUGUCUUGUGGUUGGAAAAGUUGUAAAAAUGGUGGGAAGUGAAAUUUUUGAUCUUUCAACCAAGAAAUUACAAAAUAUGUUCAUAGAUUAUACAAUGAUAAAAAUCUCAGAAUGGAAAUUAAAUUCAAUAGGAACUCAUGCAACUGUCAGGAAUGUUUUUGUUUGUAAAU